UAUUUUAUUUCUGCUUAUAAAUAAUGGGUCAUAUAAUUAUAAAUUAUAAAAUAUAAAUUUUACAAUCUUCUAUUUUACUCAGUGUGGAUUUUUUUUUUCCAGUCAAGAUUCUUCUGUUGUUCAUAUAAUCUCACCUUUUUUUAAAAAAAAAAUCAUGAGUAUGAAUUUUUGGCCUGCACGUGUAUGUAUAUGUGUGUGUGUAUAUAUAUGUGUGUCCAUGUACUGCUUAUAUGCCAGUACCUGCAAAAGUCAGAAAAGGACUUCAGAACCCCUUGAACUGAAGUUAUGGAUGGCUUUGAACCACCAUGUGAGUGCUUAGAAUUGAACCCUAGUCCUCUGCAAGAGCAACAAGUGCUCUUAGCUACUGAGCCAUCCCUCCAGCCUUUCUAUUGGCUGGGAACAAUGGUUGUGAAGGGUUCUUCCUAGCCAACAGUUUAGCUCUUGCAUGCUUCUUACAUUUUCUGUCAUGUUUACUUUUAAUUUGCAGUGUUAGAGUAAUUUUGGGGUUGUUUGUUUGGAGGUUGUUCUAAAGCUUUGCUUCUCCUUUUUCCUUACAUGUCCUAAAUUUACAUUGCCCAGCAUUGGCAACAGUGCCAGGACCAAUUCACGUGUCACAUGUGGGACAGUGCAGAUAUGUUACACCUCAGUUGCAGAAAACUGAACUCGGAAGGACAAGACGAAACAUCCCCGAAUUUCAGAGUCACUGUCUUGUCUCUACUCAGAUGAGCCCUUCAUUUUUCUGGCACCAUUUUGUCUGCUUCUAUAAACUUGGGUUCCCUUACACAGUUACUCCAAAUUAUCACUGUUCUAUCAAACUUCCUUCUUCUCUACUAGUAAAUGACCUUUCUCCUACUGCACAGAGGAAACAGAGGUUACAGCAGGAACCCCCCCCCCCAUAACUUCCUGUUCUUAGACCUAUUUUUGUACCUCUCUUUGCCUCCUUUGUUUCUUGCCUCAAAGAUAAGUCCAUUUGGUGUUUCUUCAUUUGUACAAAUAUUUCUUGGGUUGUAGGAGGAUGAGGACAAGAGUGAAGGUGGGCGGGGUGAGAUUUGUAGACUCAGAGAGCUGUCGUGAGACAGCUGAGCAGGGGAGGAAGGAAGGGCACGAGCCCUCAGGCAUGGCGAUCUGAGCCUGGCCCGCAGGACCGAGCUGACCCUUACGUUGUUCCGUGUCGUCUACAUGCGGGCACAGUAAGUAAGGCCUACACGGGGCUCCAAAUCAUCAACUAGAACAGAAAAUGGAAAGGCCGUAAAGUAAGCUCACUCUAAAAAUUGGAGGCUCCAGAGAUUAAUCGAUGUUAACAGUGAUAAGGUACUCAAGUGGAGCUUAACAGGCUACAAUACAGUUUUGGUUCUGACAAGUUUGGAUUGGAAGCCUCUAGAAGGUUUGACCAGAAUUUGAGUGAUGUGAUUUUCUUUCCCUUAAUUUUAUUUUAUUCUGUUUAUGUUUAUGAGUGUUGUAUCUGGGAGUAUGUUUGCACACCAGAAGAGGGCAUCAUAUCCCAUCAGACUGCAGUUACAGACAGGUGUGAGCUACCAUGUGGGUGCUGGGAAUUGAAUUCAGGACUUGGAAGAGCAGCUAGCACUCUUAACUGACAAGCUAUCUUUUCAUCUUCAGCUCCCAACAGGGAGUCAUUUCAUGACCAGUAUUGUUUCAUUUGUAGUCAUCCUUCAUUUUAAAGAAUUUAAGAUUUAAUUUUACUUUUUGCUUUGCAUGUUUUGCCUGCUUGUGUGUAUGUGUGCCAUAUGUGUGCCUGGUGCCUUUGGAGGUCAGAAAAGGGCUUUGGGUUUUCUGGAACAGGAGUUACCAGAUGGUCAUGAGCACCAUUUGAUAUUGGGAAACAAACUCAGGUCGUCUACAAGAACAAGUACCCUUCCAGCUGAUACACACACACACACACACACACACACACACACACACACUCAUCCCCAUUGUUUUGUAUAUUCAUUGAGACUAAGUAUUAUGUAUCCCUAGAAUAUCUUUGUAAUUGACUACAUGCUAAAGCUCGCCUUGAAUUUAUGAUCCUCUGAGCCCCUGGACCUCAAUUUUAGAAUUUUUUUUUUUAAUUUUGAUACAUGUACAUCAUCCCCCUUUCCUUUUUCUCUCUCCAAUCUCUCCCAUAUUACAUGCUGCACCCACUGCAAAAUCCAUGGCCUCUUUUCCUUUUACACACAUACAUAUACACCUACAAAAAUACUCUAAAAUAAAUAAACACAACCUGUUUAGUCUAAUGUUACUGGUUUUUUUAUGGUUUCUGGGCUAACUGGUUGUUAUUGGAUAGCCACCUGGGAUAGUUGGAUAGUGGAUAGUCAACUUCUUCCCUGCAGAAGACCAUUUUCCCCAUGCAACAUUCCAUAGUUGUCCAUAGAGCUCAUGUUAGGGCCCCAUGAGUUUGGUCAUUCCCUGUGAGCACGUUCUGAUGGUGUUGUCAAUGUUUAGGUUGUCAUCUUGAUGAGUCUUCAUGGGUGUAGCUUCUCUGAUGUCCCUAGGACAUACAAUCUCAUACCAAACUUCCGGUUCCUCUGGCUCUUACAAUCUUAAUGUAUGCUCUUCCACUCGUGUGUUGUUAUAAAGGAAGUCCCAUGUGCCAUAUGUCACCUGUUUUUAUUUUUUUGUACAUGUGUAUACAUGUAAAUAAUAAAAUAGCUAAUCUCUUCAUUACUUGCAUUUGUCGGUUUCUCCCUUGUAGUUUUUAUAUUAAGUGGCUUCCCAAUUUGGUUGCUUGCUAUUUUACAACCUACCCUAGAUGGUGUCAGGUUUCAACUUUUUCUGUGCUCUGAAUCAAGUUCUAUACAAAAACCUCAUGUCUACUAUUAGAUAAUUAUUUAUUUAGCCAUUUAUAUAUUCUGAGUACUUCCAAGAUAAAUUCCUGUCCUCAUAGAGCUUAAGUUUUACAGGAGGUAUGGUGGAUAAUGAAACAAUAAGCAAACUCUGUCAUAAUAAACAUUUUAAUAACAUCUAUUUUAUUUAAUAACAAAAUAAAAAUUGAGUAAUUUUAAAGCCAUUAGAAUUGAGAGGGAGGGGGCUGCACUUUUAAUCCCAGCACACCUGAGGCAGAAGCAGGCAGAUCUUUGUGAGUUUGAGGCCUGCCUGGUCUACAGAGUGAGUUCCAGGACAGCCAGGGCUACACAGAGAAACCCUGUUUCAAAGAAACCAACCCUACCUCCAAAAAAACAAAACAAAACAACAACAG
rnacentral:lncRNA from 1 species